GUAGGCAACAGUGUGCUGUUGGAAUGCCUUCCUUUUUGAUGCUUGUUUUUUUAAUUCUGGCUAUUUUCUUAGUGGCACAAGCAGCAAUCACUGUGGACUGUGGCAAAAACUCUGUCUCUGUGUGAUGGGUUGAUGCAGACCCUCAAGUGGAUCCAUCCCUGCUCCGCCUGGGUAACUGUCCUCCAACCCAGGUUUCAGUAAAAUCUCAAGGCUCAGAGGCAGUGUUCUAUGCUGAAUUUUGGGCUUGUAAUAUUAGGAGGCUGGUGACAACUAAUGAGAUUAUAUUUGAGGCCGAGAUCACUUCUCCCACAUUGUCAAAAGCAACACCAAUUUAUUACUCUGUGGCCUGUGCAUAUGAAGGGCCAGAAGACUGGGCGCCUCCUUUGUAUGACCCCCUGCUGUUUCAUACACAUGGCCAGGGAGAUCUGGCCUUUCGUAUAGCGCUCAUGAAGGAUGACUUUAGUGGUGUGGCCACUACCACAAUAUUCUCACUAGGCUCAACAAUCCCAAUUGCUGCCUCAGUUGCCCAGCAGAACCAUCAGCCAUUAAUACUGCUGCUGGAUGAAUGUCUGGCAUCCACAACACCAGAACUGGGUCCAGAUUCUCAUGUUUACCCACUCAUUACCAAUAAUGGGUAUGUGUGAAAACGAGAUGUGGUCUUUCUGGAUCCAAAAACAUUUUCAUGUUCCACAGCAGUGGAGUCUACCUGCACUGCAGGCUUGUGGCAUGGGACCCAAGUGACCUGGAUGGUGGCAAGAAAGCUUGUCAAUAUGACAGGAUCAGCUCACGUUGGGUGCUGAUUGAUGAUCCAUCCCAGAAUUCUCUCUGCAGCUGCUGUGACACUAACUGUCAAGGAAGAAAGAAACGAGGAAUAACAGCAGAUUCCUCCGCUUUAAAUUCUGUUAUUGGGCCUCUGGUUAUUAUUGAAAACUGAGGACUGGGUCAUACCUUGGAUUUGACAAGAUUGCCUCCAAGCCACGGGAGUUGCUUUGGACAUCCUAAGGGUUGAGCUCUACCUGUUCCUGUUCAACUGCUGCGUUUCUUGAGAGAAAUAAAUCAUUAUAAAA